AUGGCCUGGGGCAGAAGCCCCGUUUUGCCCAGAAGACUCCGGAGUCCGCUCCGCCGGCUGCUGCCCUCGGCGCCAGGCCCAGCGGCCUUCGCCCCGCCCCCCGUCUCUCAUUGGCUCCCCCGGGACACGUGGGGGGAAGGAGGCGUGGCCACCGCGGCUGGGGCUGGCGGCCUGCGGCCGGCGGGGAUGAGAGGCCCGCGGACUCGGGCCUGGGGCCGCAUGGCAACCGUGGUGCCGGGCUGCUGGCGACGGCGGAGGGCGGAGGAGCUUCAGGUUCCGGGGGACGCGGUGAGCCUCUGCCCCCCGGGCCUGGGCGAGAGGAACGGGAUGGCGGACGCCCCGGACGUGUCCCGCGGGCCUCUCGUCCGCACCCCGGGAGCCUUCCAGGAGGAAGCCAGGCCCGGGUCGCGCCGGCGCCCUCUUGGAGGGGUGGGCGUGGCCAGGGCCCAGGGGGCGUGGCCGCGGUGCUGCCCCGCCCCCUCCGGGCCGCGCCUGCGCAGAGGUGCGGGAGCGGCCGCAGUGAGUGCCGCGCUGUCCGGAGGCCCGGAGCUGCGCGCUCGCGGUGACCCUGCCCGGUGCACGGGCUCGGGGUGCAGGCUGCCCCGGGCUGCUCCAGGUGCCGGCGCCGGGCUGGGCGAGAAACGGGCAUGCAGGAGAGGAGAAGCAGCCGGGCCAGAGUGGGGCCGAGCCCCUGUGAAGCUCAGUGCCCCAGUGUCCUGCAGCGGCGAGGGGCUGCCACGUGUGGGGAUUCCUCAGAACGGCGGAAGGAGCUGGGCCCAGCCUUGCCCGAGAUGUAUGGCGGGGGAGUCUGGACAUCUUAACCACACCGAGAACCAUUAA
rnacentral:lncRNA from 12 species